GAUCCUGGUUCUCAGGAUGAACGCUAGCUACAGGCUUAACACAUGCAAGUCGAGGGGCAGCAUUUUAGUUUGCUUGCAAACUAAAGAUGGCGACCGGCGCACGGGUGAGUAACACGUAUCCAACCUGCCGAUAACUCUGGGAUAGCCUUUCGAAAGAAAGAUUAAUACCGGAUGGCAUAGGAUUAUCGCAUGAUAAUCCUAUUAAAGAAUUUCGGUUAUCGAUGGGGAUGCGUUCCAUUAGGUAG
rnacentral:rRNA from 1 species